rnacentral:misc_RNA from 1 species
GAUGAAGGACGCAGUGAAAUGCGAUAAGUAAUGUGAAUUGCAGAAUUCAGUGAAUCAUCGAAUCUUUGAACGCACAUUGCGCCCGUCAGUAUUCUGGCGGGCAUGCCUGUUCGAGCGUCAUUACGCCCCUCAAGUCCCCUGUGGACUUGGUGUUGGGGAUCGGCGAGGCUGGUUUUCCAGCACAGCCGUCCCUUAAAUUAAUUGGCGGUCUCGCCGUGGCCCUCCUCUGCGCAGUAGUAAAACACUCGCAACAGGAGCCCGGCGCGGUCCACUGCCGUAAAACCCCCCAACUUUUUAUAGUUGACCUCGAAUCAGGUAGGACUACCCGCUGAACUUAAGCAUAUCAAUAAGCGGAGGA